UACGAAGGGGGCUAGCGUUGUUCGGAAUUACUGGGCGUAAAGGGCGCGUAGGCGGGCUAUCAAGUCCGGGGUGAAAUCCUCCAGCUUAACUGGAGAACGGCCUCGGAUACUGAUGGUCUCGAGGGGGAUAGGGGCACGCGGAACUGUGGGUGGAGCGGUGAAAUGCGUUGAUAUUCAUAGGAACUCCGGUGGCGAAAGCGGCGUGCUGGAGCCCGUCUGACGCUGAGGCGCGAAAGCCAGGGGAGCAAACGGG
rnacentral:rRNA from 1 species